CCUACGGGAGACAGCAGUGAGGAAUAUUGGUCAAUGGACGAGAGUCUGAACCAGCCAAGUAGCGUGAAGGAUGACUGCCCUAUGGGUUGUAAACUUCUUUUAUAUGGGAAUAAAAUGUUCCACGUGUGGGAUUUUGUAUGUACCAUAUGAAUAAGGAUCGGCUAACUCCGUGCCAGCAGCCUCGGUAAUACGGAGGAUCCGAGCGUUAUCCGGAUUUAUUGGGUUUAAAGGGAGCGUAGGUGGAUUGUUAAGUCAGUUGUGAAAGUUUGCGGCUCAACCGUAAAAUUGCAGUUGAAACUGGCAGUCUUGAGUACAGUAGAGGUGGGCGGAAUUCGUGGUGUAGCGGUGAAAUGCUUAGAUAUCACGAAGAACUCCGAUUGCGAAGGCAGUUCACUGGACUGCAACUGACACUGAGGCUCGAAAGUGUGGGUAUCAAACAGGAUUAGAUACCCCUGUAGUC
rnacentral:rRNA from 1 species